rnacentral:rRNA from 1 species
GACGAACGCUGGCGGCGUGCUUAACACAUGCAAGUCGAACGGAAAGGCCCUGCUUGCAGGGUACUCGAGUGGCGAACGGGUGAGUAACACGUGGGUGAUCUGCCCUGCACUUCGGGAUAAGCUUGGGAAACUGGGUCUAAUACCGGAUAGGAGCCAUCUUUAGUGUGGUGGUUGGAAAGUUUUUUCGGUGUAGGAUGAGCUCGCGGCCUAUCAGCUUGUUGGUGGGGUAAUGGCCUACCAAGGCGGCGACGGGUAGCCGGCCUGAGAGGGUGUACGGCCACAUUGGGACUGAGAUACGGACCAGACUCCUACGGGAGGCAGCAGUGGGGAAUAUGGCAAAAUGGGCGCAAGCCUGAUGCAGCGACGCCGCGUGGGGGAUGAAGGCCUUCGGGUUGUAAACUCCAUUCGCUAGGGACGAAGCUUUUUGUGACGGUACCUAGAUAAGAAGCACCGGCUAACUACGUG